rnacentral:rRNA from 1 species
UUCAGGGGUAAACCUGAGAAACCCGAAAGGUCGAAAGGGGAAAUUCAUUCGCGUUUCGGCGAUCGGAGCGAGACGGUCGAGCGACGGACGGCGCUUGCGUCGUCCGCGCCUUUCGUUUCGCGAUCCGGCGUCGAACGCGUGCACUUUUCCCCUAGUAGGACGUCGCGAUCCGUUGGGCGUCGGUUUAAGGCCCGCGGUGGAGCCCGGGCGAGCGUUUCGGCGUCUCGCUCGGACCCGCGGUGUCCCGGCCGACCCGCUCGACGGUAUACAGAUGGCGCGGGGCCGCUGCUCGACAGCGUUCGGCCCGCGGCAAGCGCGUCCGGUGUUGACGGCGAUCGGACCUGGUGCCGGUCCUGUCCCCGGACGACUGUUGGCCGCGGUGUUCUCGGACAGACCUCGAUUCUUACGCCGAUCUGCGACGCUAUAGCUUUGGGUACUUUCAGGACCCACGGACCAAGGAGUCUAGCAUGUGCGCGAGUCAUUGGGACAUAACUAAACCUAAAGGCGCAAUGAAAGUGAAGGUUCGCCUCGCGCGAACCGAGGGAGGAUGGGCGUGCCGUACUUUCGUGCGGCCGCUCCGCACUCCCGGGGCGUCUCGUUCUCAUCGCGAGAAGAGGCGCACCAAGAGC